AAAGUUUUAGUUUAAAUAAAAUAAUUCAUUUACAGUGAGAAGAUUUUACAGUGAAAGUAAAAAAAUUUA
rnacentral:tRNA from 1 species